CCGGUGGCGGAUGGGCAUGCGGCGCAUUAGCUAGUCGGCGGGGUAACGGCCCACCGAGGCGACGAUGCGUAGGGGUUCUGAGAGGAAGGUCCCCCACACUGGUACUGAGACACGGACCAGACUCCUACGGGAGGCAGCAGUGAGGAAUAUUGGUCAAUGGGCGCGAGCCUGAACCAGCCAAGUCGCGUGAGGGAUGACGGUCCUACGGAUUGUAAACCUCUUUUGCCGGGGAGCAAGCGUGCGUUCGUGAACGCGCGUCGAGAGUACCCGGAGAAAAAGCAUCGGCUAACUCCGUGCCAGCAGCCGCGGUAAUACGGAGGAUGCGAGCGUUAUCCGGAUUUAUUGGGUUUAAAGGGUGCGUAGGCGGGAUGCCAAGUCAGCGGUAAAAAUGCGGUGCUCAACGCCGUCGAGCCGUUGAAACUGGCGUUCUUGAGUGGGCGAGAAGUAUGCGGAAUGCGUGGUGUAGCGGUGAAAUGCAUAGAUAUCACGCAGAACUCCGAUUGCGAAGGCAGCAUACCGGCGCCCUACUGACGCUGAGGCACGAAAGCGUGGGUAUCGAACAGGAUUAGAUACCCUGGUAGUCCACGCAGUAAACG
rnacentral:rRNA from 1 species